rnacentral:rRNA from 1 species
GACGAACGCUGGCGGCGUGGAUUAGGCAUGCAAGUCGAACGGUAUCAUCCUUUCGGGGGUGAGAGAGUGGCGAACUGGUGAGUAACACGUAGGUUAUCUACCCUCAAGACGGGGACAACCCAGGGAAACUUGGGCUAAUACCGGAUGUGAGCAACUUUUAGUUGUUUGAAAGGUGGCGUAAGCUGUCGCUUGGGGAUGAGCCUGCGUCCUAUUAGUUAGUUGGUGAGGUAACGGCUCACCUAGGCAAUGAUAGGUAGGCGGCCUUAACGGGUGGUCGCCCACACUGGGAUUGAGAUACGGCCCAGACUCCUACGGGAGGCAGCAGUCGAGAAUAGUCUACAAUGGUCGGAAGACUGAUAGUGCGACGCCGCGUGAACGAUGAAUCCCUUCGGGGUGUAAAGUUCUUUUAUAUGUGAGCAGUGCUUCUUAUAUUAACAGUAUGGGGAGAGAGAUAUUAGCAUAUGAAUAAGCAACGGUAACUCCGUAGCCAGCAGCCGCGGUAAACUCG